rnacentral:rRNA from 1 species
UUGGAGGGCAAGUCUGGUGCCAGCAGCCGCGGUAAUUCCAGCUCCAAUAGCGUAUAUUAAAGUUGUUGCAGUUAAAAAGCUCGUAGUUGAAUUUCGGGAUUAGUAGGUUGGUCAUGCCUCUGGUAUGUACUGGUCUCACUGAUUCCUCCUUCCUUGUGAACCGUAAUGCCAUUAAUUUGGUGUUGCGGGGAAUUUGGACUGUUACUUUGAAAAAAUUAGAGUGUUUAAAGCAGGCUAACGCUUGAAUACAUUAGCAUGGAAUAAUGAAAUAGGACGUUCGAUCUUAUUUUGUUGGUUUCUAGGAUUGACGUAAUGAUUAAUAGGGAUAGUUGGGGGCAUUAGUAUUCAAUUGUCAGAGGUGAAAUUCUUGGAUUUAUUGAAGACUAACUACUGCGAAAGCAUUUGCCAAGGAUGUUUUCAUUAAUCAAGAACGAAAGUUAGGGGAUCGAAGACGAUCAGAUACCGUCGUAGUCUUAACCAUAAACUAUGCCGACUAGGGAUCGGAUGAUGUUAAUUUUUUAAUGACUCAUUCGGCGCCUUACGGGAAAC